GAGCACCCGCAUCUCCACCGUCUUCUCCUCGGCUCCUCGCGCCCGCCCCCCGGCUCCCGCGCCCGCCACCUUGGAGCUCCAGCCAGCCGACAGCCCGGCCCGCACCCAGCCCGCCUGAGACUCAGCUCCGCGCCGCCAGCAUCUACUGAAGACAUGACUACUGAUAUUACUGCCACUUAGGGAAAAAACUGUUGUUGUGGCAUGUUGAAAAACUGGAAAGAAGAUUUCCCUCUUGAAGAGGAUUCUUUAUUUAUGGAAUAAUCUCUGCUACCUUACUGGAAUCUAUACCAAAUAGACUUACAGAGCCAUCUCUCUGCCAAAUGUACAUAUUUCAGGGUUGGAUUAGAGAAUUUUAAUUGUAUUUAUUGACAGCAUUUCAAGCCAUUUGAAAGAUUCCUCUGUUUUUUUUAAAUUGUUAUAUUAGAUUUCUCAUGUGAAAACUAAUUGGUUUACACUUUUAACAAAAUCUUAAACAGUGUUUCAUAAGUAAUUUCAGCAUCUCAUAUAUAAAUACUUGUUUAAAAGCCUGAAAAAGUAUGAUGAAAAGCUCUAAUUUUAACCAAGGUAUAGAAAUUAAAUUACUGUGAACUUGUUUUUACUGUGGCAGUGCAAUGCCUUAUUUGUAAGGGUGCUUUUGGUAUCCCUUUGUGAAGCAGUUUUGGAAACAGCUGAUGUAAGAUUAUAAACAUAAUGUUUUUUUUACUGUAAAUACACAA